rnacentral:rRNA from 1 species
GACGAACGCUGGCGGCGUGCUUAACACAUGCAAGUCGAACGGAAAGGCCCUGCUUUUGUGGGGUGCUCGAGUGGCGAACGGGUGAGUAACACGUGAGUAACCUGCCCUUGACUUUGGGAUAACUUCAGGAAACUGGGGCUAAUACCGGAUAGGAGCUCCUGCUGCAUGGUGGGGGUUGGAAAGUUUCGGCGGUUGGGGAUGGACUCGCGGCUUAUCAGCUUGUUGGUGGGGUAGUGGCUUACCAAGGCUUUGACGGGUAGCCGGCCUGAGAGGGUGACCGGCCACAUUGGGACUGAGAUACGGCCGAGACUCCUACGGGAGGCAGCAGUGGGGAAUAUUGCACAAUGGGCGGAGGCAGGAUGCAGCAGCGCCGCGUGCGGGAUGACGGCCUUCGGGUGGUAAACAGCUUUCGCCUGUGCCGAAGCGUGAGUAACGUUAAUGGAUAAAGAAGCACCGCCUACCUACGU